UAUGGGGCUUCUGUAGAGAUUUC
rnacentral:miRNA from 1 species